UUUUGGGCAAUGGACGAAAGCCUGAUGCAGCAACGCCGCGUGCGUGAUGAAGCAUUUUGGUGUGUUAAACCCUGUCAGUGGGGAAGAAACGGACCGGUAGUAAUUGACCGGGGCCAGACGGGACCCGCAAAAAAAAGCCCGGGCAAAUCCGGGCCAGCAGCCCCGGUUAAAAGGGGGGGGGCGAGCGUUGUUCGGAUUUACUGGGCGUAAAGGGUGCGUAGGCGGGCCUUUAAGUCGGGUGUGAAAACCCAAAGCUAAACUUUCAAACGGCAUUCGAUACUGUUGGUCUAGAGUACAGUAGAGGAAAACGGAAUUCCAGGUGUAGCGGUAAAUGCGUAGAUAUCGGAAGAACACCAGUAGGGAAGGCGGCUUCCUGGACUUAUACUGACGCUAAAGCACGAAA
rnacentral:rRNA from 1 species